UACGUAGGGUGCGAGCGUUGUCCGGAAUUAUUGGGCGUAAAGAGCUCGUAGGCGGUCUGUCGCGUCGAUCGUGAAAACUUGGGGCUUAACCCUGAGCUUGCGGUCGAUACGGGCAUGACUGGAGUUCGGCAGGGGGAGACUGGAAUUCCUGGUGUAGCGGUGAAAUGCGUAGAUAUCAGGAGGAAUACCGAUGGCGAAGGCAGGUCUCUGGGCUGACACUGAC
rnacentral:rRNA from 1 species